rnacentral:pre_miRNA from 1 species
UCUUAUGGAUGAGGAAAGAAUGUGGUUUCUUGAGAUGGAAUCUACUUUUGAUGAAGAUGCUGUGAA